rnacentral:rRNA from 1 species
UUAAGUAAGAAAGAGCGUAUGGCGAAUGCCUAGGCACAAAGAGGCGAAGAAGGACGCAGCAAACGGCGAAACGCGACGGCGAGCAGUAAGCAGGCAAGGACCCGUCGAUGUCCGAAUGGGGGAACCCGGCAUCCGUAAUGGGAUGUCAGCGCAUGAUGAAUAAAUAGUGAUGCGUGGCGAGACGCAGGGAACUGAAACAUCUCAGUACCUGCAGGAGAAGAAAGUAAAGAACGAUUCCGUAAGUAGCGGCGAGCGAAAGCGGAGGAGCCCAAACCAUCGCAAAGAUGGGGUUAUAGGGCUGUCAGCGAAGCAGACAUGACAUGAUAGGAGAAGCUUCUGGGAAGGAGCGACGAAGAGGGUGACAUUCCCGUAUCCGAAAUCGUGAAGUGAUGCGAGACAGUACCUGAGUACGUCGGGGCACGUGGAAUCCUGACGGAAUUAUCGAGGACCAUCUCGAAAGGCUAAAUACUCCUUUGUGACCGAUAGUGAACCAGUACCGUGAGGGAAAGGUGAAAAGAACCCCGGGAGGGGAGUGAAAGAGAACCUGAAACCAUAUGCUUACAAGAAGUCAGAGCCCGUUAAGGGGUGAUGGCGUGCCUUUUGUAGAAUGAGCCGGCGAGUUAUGAUAUGCAGCGAGGUUAAGCAGGAGAUGCGGAGCCGAAGCGAAAGCGAGUCUGAAUAGGGCGAGAGUUGUAUGUCAUAGACCCGAAACCGAGUGAUCUAGCCAUGAUCAGGUUGAAGUUGGGGUAAAACCCGAUGGAGGACCGAACCGACCCCCGUUGAAACGUUGGCGGAUGAAUUGUGGCUAGGGGUGAAAUUCCAAACGAACUCGGAGAUAGCUGGUUCUCCCCGAAAUAGCUUUAGGGCUAGCGUCAGAGUGAAAGUUAUGUGAAGGUAGAGCACUGAAUAUGUGAUGGCCUCAUCCCGAGGUACUGAAUAUAAUCAAACUCCGAAUGUCACAGGAACAUAUCUGGCAGUCAGACUGCGGGUGAUAAGGUCCGUAGUCAAAAGGGAAACAGCCCAGACCAUCAGCUAAGGUCCCAAAAUAUAUGCUAAGUGGAAAAGGAUGUGGAGAUGUCCAGACAACCAGGAGGUUGGCUCAGAAGCAGCCACCCUUUAAAGAGUGCGUAACAGCUCACUGGUCGAAUGACUCUGCGCCGAAAAUUUACCGGGGCUAAGCAUAAUACCGAAGCUAUGGAUUUAUACGACAAGUAUAAGUGGUAGGGGAGCGUUCCUGUCAGCGAGGAAGCAUGACCGCAAGGACAUGUGGAGCGGCAGGAAGAGAGAAUGCCGGUGUGAGUAGCGGAACGUGGGUGAGAAUCCCACGCACCGAAUACCCAAGGUUUCCAGAGGAAGGUUCGUCCGCUCUGGGUAAGUCGGGACCUAAGGCGAGGCCGAAAGGCGUAGUCGAUGGACAACGGGUGGAGAUUCCCGUACCUGAUGAAGAGGCAAUGGAGUGACGGAGCAGGCUAGGCGAUCCAGCUGCUGGAAUAGCUGGUGCAAGCGAGGUAGGGGACAUCCAGGCAAAUCCGGAUGUUGAAACCCGAAGGCGUGACGCGUAUGGAACAUUACGAUAAGUACAGAAGUCGCCGAAGCAAGCUUCCAAGAAAAGCUUCUAGCAAUCAACUCUUUGUCAGCCCGUACCGAAAAUGGACACACAUGGGUGAGGAGAGAAUCCUAAGGUGAGCGAGAGAACUAUAGCUAAGGAACUCUGCAAAAUGACUCCGUAACUUCGGGAGAAGGAGUGCUCAUUGAGAGAUGAGCCGCAGUAAAACGGCCCAAGCGACUGUUUACCAAAAACACAGCUCUCUGCCAAGACGCAAGUCGAAGUAUAGGGGGUGACGCCUGCCCGGUGCUGGAAGGUUAAGAGGAGUGGUCAGCGCAAGCGAAGCCAUGAAUUGAAGCCCCAGUAAACGGCGGCCGUAACUAUAACGGUCCUAAGGUAGCGAAAUUCCUUGUCAGGUAAG